GCCUGGGUGACUCAGUCGGUUGAGUGUCCAACUUUGGCUCUGGUCCUGAUCUCAUAGUUUGUGGGUUCAAGUCCCACAUUGGGCU
rnacentral:tRNA from 1 species